rnacentral:rRNA from 1 species
AUUGAACGCUGGCGGCAUGCCUUACACAUGCAAGUCGAACGGUAACGCGGGGCAACCUGGCGACGAGUGGCGAACGGGUGAGUAAUAUAUCGGAACGUGCCCAGUAGUGGGGGAUAGCCCGGCGAAAGCCGGAUUAAUACCGCAUACGACCUACGGGUGAAAGGGGGGGAUCGCAAGACCUCUCGCUAUUGGAGCGGCCGAUAUCAGAUUAGGUAGUUGGUGGGGUAAAAGCCCACCAAGCCAACGAUCCGUAGCUGGUCGGAGAGGACGACCAGCCACACUGGGACUGAGACCCGGCCCAGAAUCCUACGGGAGGCAGCAGUAAGGAAUAUUGGUCAAUGGACGCAAGUCUGAACCAGCCAUGCCGCGUGAAGGAUUAAGGUCCUCUGGAUUGUAAACUUCUUUUAUUUGGGACGAAAAAGGGCCUUUCUAGGUCAACUGACGGUACCAGAUGGAUAAGCACCGGCUAACUCCGUGCCAGCCGCCGCGGUAA